rnacentral:tRNA from 1 species
UUUACUUUAGUUUAUAUAAAAUGAAAUAUUGAAGCUAUUUUGAAAAUUUUUUAAGUAAAA